AAGUUGUUGCAGAGAAGAAGGAAGAGUCUGCUGUAGAUGGAGCAGAGACACAGAAGGAAGCUGAACCAGCCAAACCGGCUGAGGCUGAGGUAGCCAAGCCUGUCGAGGCUGAACCAGCCAAGCCUGCAGAGGCUGAGGCAGCUCCAGAGGCUGUGAAGACCGAAGCAACUGUCAAAGCUGUUGAUGAGACUGAGCCACCAAAGCAAGAGGAGGCUGCACCAGCCAGUGACACCAAAACCAUGGAAGAGCCUCUUGUAACUCUUUAAUUCUCAAAGUCAUUUCUCUCAAAUCUCAAUUCAUAUUUGUAUGUUCGUCACCAC
rnacentral:lncRNA from 1 species